GGCGGCGUAGCUCAGUUGGCAGAGCACACGGCUCAUAAUCGUGAUGUCGCGGGUUCGAGUCCCGCCGCCGCUA
rnacentral:tRNA from 1 species